UACGUGGGGGGCAAGCGUUGUUCGGAAUUACUGGGCGUAAAGGGCGUGUAGGUGGCCAACUAAGUCCGACGUGAAAUCCCCAGGCUUAACCUGGGAACUGCGUCGGAUACUGGAUGGCUUGAAUUCGGGAGAGGAAUGCAGAAUUCCAGAUGCAACGGUGAAAUGCGUAGAUAUCUGGAGGAACACCAAUGGCGAAGGCAGCUCGCUGGGACGUUACUGACGCUGAGACGCGAAAGCGUGGGGAGCAAACAGG
rnacentral:rRNA from 1 species